AUGAGCAAGUUAAAGAAAAAGCCCACAGACCUAAUGGGCACAGCAGUCAGUAGUAUCUGCCUGCUACUGGAGGGGUCUAGUGGGCAGAGAAGACUCUUGGCCAGGCAGACAACUUCUCAGUGGCACAGCAUGGGGACCUCCGUGCACUGGAGAUCUCUGCAGCACUAGGAACAGCUGGAGGACACCAGGGAGCUGCAGACUGUGGCCAUUAGGAGGCCUUCGCAGGAGUCCUGGGGUCCCUGUGCAGACAGUUCCAAAGAAGGCUGCCCCUGAGAGCCGUCAACCUCAACCUCCGCGCAGGCCCCUCCUGGAAACACCUGGAAACCCCAGAGCCAGGGCUGCAGGGCCUCCAGGCUGCAGCUCACUCAGCUAAGAGUGCUUGGGCGCCAAGUCCCAGAGAAUCCAGGAGUCCUGCGAAAGUGGUACCAAGUGGCUGGUGGAGACCCAGGUGAAGGCUAGGAGGAGGAGGAGAGGGGCACAGAAGGGCAGUGAAUCCGCAAGUCACAGUCUGAGCCAGAAGAUCACCCAGCUGUCUGGAGCUGCUCCUGCCCACUCAGCCGCAGAUACCUGGGAGAAGCAUCACCACCUCUCUGCCCGGAUAGGUUCACGUGCCCACCCAUUACGGCGGUCUAGGCGGGAGGCUGCCUUCUGGAGCCCCUACUUCUCAACAGAGCCCCUCUGCUCUCCCAGAGAGUCUGACAGUGACCUAGAGCCUGUGGGGGCGGGAAUUCAGCAUCUCCAGAAGCUGUUCCAAGAACUAGAUUAAGCCAUUAUAGCAGGAGAGUGGUGACAUCAUCUCUCUCAUUCAUGACUGAGGAAGUGCCCUGCAGGAAACAAGCCCUGUCUGACGCCAAGCCUUCAUACCCAAGGAUGUCUGUGCUUCCCCAUGCACUUCCUGGAGGAAGCCCCCAGGAGUCGUCAGUACCCCGUGCCACUGCUAACAGGGACCUGACUAACAAGGGGCCAGAGAACCCCUGCUAUGGCCACAUGUGGA